UGACCUCAGAUCAGGCAAGGCUACCCGCUGAAUUUAAGCAUAUUAAUAAGCGGAGGANAAGAAACUAACAAGGAUUCCCCUAGUAAUGGCGAAUGAAGCGGGAACAGCUCAAAUUUAAAAUCUCCGUUGCUUGCAACGGCGAAUUGUAGUUUCGAGAAGCACUUUCUCGGCGGAUCCGAGGUCGUCCAAGUUGCUUGGAACAGCACGUCGUAGAGGGUGACAACCCCGUCUGCGGCGAUCUCGGCCGUUCACGAUGUGCUUUCGACGAGUCGGGUUGUUUGGGAAUGCAGCCCAAAAUGGGUGGUAAACUCCAUCUAAAGCUAAAUAUUGGCACGAGACCGAUAGCGAACAAGUACCGUGAGGGAAAGAUGAAAAGCACUUUGAAAAGAGAGUUAAAAAGUACGUGAAACCGUUAAAAGGGAAACGAAUGGGGUUAGCAAUGCGUCGUGCGAGAUUCAGCCGGUGGGUGGGCCAGGCGGGCGGUUGGCGGAUCUGAAUGGACCGCUGCCGUUCGGGUUGGUUUCCCGACCGUCGCACUUCUCGCAGGCGCGCGCCAACGUCGGUUAGGGCUGGGUCUCAAAGGCGGUGGAAAGGUAGGUUUGGACUCUCGGGCCCGAACUGUUACAGUCCUCCGUUCGUCAUGGCCCGGACCUGACCGAGGAGCUUGCGGUGCAUGCCCUUUCGGCUAGGGUCCCGUCUUCCCGGUCGGUCGUCGAAUGCGGUGGACUGCGUGCAGUGCGCCGCGACUGCUGCCGGUCGCGAGGGCGGUGAUUUCGUACUAUGCACCCACGACGUUGGCGGUCAUAUGGCCUCAUCCGACCCGUCUUGAAACACGGACCAGGAGUCUACAUGUGUGC
rnacentral:ncRNA from 1 species